CCUACGGGUGGCAGCAGUGAGGAAUAUUGGUCAAUGGGCGCAAGCCUGAACCAGCCAAGUAGCGUGAAGGAUGACGGCUCUACGUGUUGUAAACUUCUUUUGUAAAGGAGUAAAUGGAGGCACGUGUACCUGUUUGUAUGUACUGUAUGAAUAAGGAUCGGCUAACUCCGUGCCAGCAGCCGCGGUAAUACGGAGGAUCCGAGCGUUAUCCGGAUUUAUUGGGUGUAAAGGGUGCGUAGAUGGGUUGUUAAGUCAGAUGUGAAAGCUUGUGGCUCAACCGUAAAAUUGCAUUGGAUACUGGGAGGCUGGAGAACAGUUGAGGUAGGCGGAAUUCGUGGUGUAGCGGUGAAAUGCGUAGAGAUCAUGAAGAACACCGAUUGCGAAGGCAGCUUACUAAACUGCCACUGACGUUGAGGCUCGAAAGCGUGGGGAGCAAACAGGAUUAGAUACCCGAGUAGUC
rnacentral:rRNA from 1 species